rnacentral:rRNA from 1 species
GAUGAACGCUGGCGGCGUGCUUAAUACAUGCAAGUCGAGCGAACAGACGAGGAGCUUGCUCGUCUGACGUUAGGGGAGGACGUGUGUGUAACACGUGUAUAACCUACCUAUCAGACUGGGAUAACUUCGGGAAACCGGAGCUAACACCGGAUAAUAUAUUGAACCGUAUGGUUCGAUAGUGAAAGACGGUUUUGCUGUCACUUAUAGAUGGAUCUGGGCCGCAUGAGCUAGUUGGUAAGGUAACGGCUUAUCAAGGCGACGAUGCGUAGCCGACCUGUGAGGGUGAUCGGCCACACUGGAGCUGGGACACGGACCAGAGUCCUGCGGGAGGCAGCAGUAGGGAAUGUGCCGCAGUAGGCGAAAGUAUGACGGAGCGACGCGGAGUGAGUGAUGAAAGUGCUCGGAGCGGAAAGCUGUGUUAUUAGGGGAGAACAAAUGUGUAAGUAGCUAUGCACGUCUUGACGGUACCUGGUCAGGAAGCCACGGCUAACUACGUG